rnacentral:rRNA from 1 species
UCCUACGGGAGGCAGCAGUGAGGAAUAUUGGUCAAUGGACGGAAGUCUGAACCAGCCAUGCCGCGUGCAGGAAGACGGCUCUAUGAGUUGUAAACUGCUUUUGUACAAGGGUAAACCUGAAUACGUGUAUUCAGCUGAAAGUACUGUACGAAUAAGGAUCGGCUAACUCCGUGCCAGCAGCCGCGGUAAUACGGAGGAUCCAAGCGUUAUCCGGAUUUAUUGGGUUUAAAGGGUGCGUAGGCGGUCGGAUAAGUCAGAGGUGAAAUCCCGAGGCUCAACUUCGGAAUUGCCUCUGAUACUGUUCG